AGGGGUUUAUAUGUGGACUGAUUGCAGCAAUGCGAGAAAGAGAGAGAAGACAAUGUCCUACCGAAGACUAACAUCUUCACGGUCUUGCAGCAAUAGACGAGAGUAGAGCAAGGUAACACAAAUAUUAGUCAUAUUGCUGCAGCAAAUAAUUUGAGGUCACGCCCAGAGAUCCUUCCUCGACUCCCUGCGAGGAAGCAAUCCCGGGGCAACUAUUUCCAGUUAAGUAACAGCUGAAGUUGUAUAAGAUCAGGGCACAACUCCAAGUC
rnacentral:lncRNA from 1 species